UUAAUACCCCAUAAUAUAUUUUACGGCAUCGUGGAAUAUUGAAAACUCCGGUGGAUAGAGAUGGGCACGCGCAAGAUUAGAUAGUUGGUGAGGUAACGGCUCACCAAGUCAGUGAUCUUUAGGGGGCCUGAGAGGGUGAUCCCCCACACUGGUACUGAGACACGGACCAGACUCCUACGGGAGGCAGCAGUGAGGAAUAUUGGACAAUGGGUGCAAGCCUGAUCCAGCCAUCCCGCGUGAAGGACUAAGGCCCUAUGGGUUGUAAACUUCUUUUAUACUGGGAUAAACCUACUUACGUGUAAGUAGCUGAAGGUACAGUAUGAAUAAGCACCGGCUAACUCCGUGCCAGCAGCCGCGGUAAUACGGAGGGUGCAAGCGUUAUCCGGAUUUAUUGGGUUUAAAGGGUCCGUAGGCGGAUUCGUAAGUCAGUGGUGAAAUCUCAUAGCUUAACUAUGAAACUGCCAUUGAUACUGCGAGUCUUGAGUGAGAUUGAGGUAGCUGGAAUAAGUAGUGUAGCGGUGAAAUGCAUAGAUAUUACUUAGAACACCAAUUGCGAAGGCAGGUUACCAAGUCUUAACUGACGCUGAGGGACGAAAGCGUGGGGAGCGAAAC
rnacentral:rRNA from 1 species